UUUCUUUCCAACGCUAAGGUUAAACAACAUAUAUAUAUAUUUUUGGUAGCUUCAUUCUAUUCCAAAACUUGUUACCCUGUAAAUGACUCGCUUCUAGAAAUAUUAGUCGCACUUUGAUUAUUUUGGCGACGAGGCUAAUUAACAAUUCGGUAGAUAAUGUAUUUGUCGAAUGUUGUGAAAGGUGGAGAAAUGGUUUCCCCUAGUUCAGAGGUAUGUAUUAAUGGUUAAAUUUUGCUCAUUUCUCGUUCUCUCAAUGUAGAUGCUUUAGGGCAAUUUUUUUGCUCCUCUCUUCUCUCAUCGGUUUUUUACUGAAUUCUAUACGCUGGAGAAAGACAGCAAAAGGGUGAUGACUGGUCUGGUUUUUCUAAAAAUGGCUUGACUUUUCUUUUGAUGUUUUGGACUUGAUAUUGCUUUCUUCUUGUUUCAAUGAGAGUCUAUAUGGAACUGUAGGUAUCGUAAAUAGAAACAUUAAAGUGGGAUCAUCUGCUUUUCUGAUAUUGAUGAUAUUCUUGUUUCUUUUUGCUUCUCUUGACAGUGAAACCCAGGGAAGGCGAUGGCUUCUUGUUUUUCAUUCUCCAUCCUGAUGAGACUACCGAUCCUUUGAGCUUACACGGUAGAAGUUGAGAAAUGGUUACACUUGAGCACGUUUGAUAUACCAUCAAACAGUUCAAGUAGCAAUUGAUUGAAAAGGAUCCAAUGUCCCGCAUGGGUUCUUCACGAUGAAUCUAAAAGAAAUCCUCAAUACAUGGUAGGAUCUGAAGAUGAUUUUGGUUCUUGUAGGAAGAGCUGCAGGGUGUGUUCACCAUGAUAACAUUUCUCCGCCGUUAAAAAUCUUCAUGCCCUUGCAAGAUAGUCGCUCAUUUGAGCAAAUGAAUCUUGAAAUUCGUGUCUUUAUUUCUUUCUUUCUUUUCUUUUCUUUUUUCUUUUUGGGAAUCUUAAUCGGAUCAAUUGCUCGUUGAAGCUUAAUAGGCCCUAAUACCAUGUUAAGGCUUGAGAUUCCAUUUUAACAAUAUAUACAUUAACUCAUAUGCCA
rnacentral:lncRNA from 1 species